UACGUAGGGCGCAAGCGUUGUCCGGAAUUAUUGGGCGUAAAGAGCUCGUAGGCGGCCUGUUGCGUCCGCUGUGAAAUCCCGGGGCUCAACCCCGGGCGUGCAGUGGAUACGGGCUGGCUGGAGGCAGGCAGGGGAGAACGGAAUUCCUGGUGUAGCGGUGAAAUGCGCAGAUAUCAGGAGGAACACCGGUGGCGAAGGCGGUUCUCUGGGCCUGUACUGACGCUGGAGGAGCGAAAGCGUGGGGAGCGAACAGG
rnacentral:rRNA from 1 species